CCCUAUGGGGUGGACAUCAGCUUGAUUUUUGGCAGGUUGAGCGUUUCGGACAGUUUCACCGGCGUGGUCAUGAACGGCGGGGGCGGGGGAGGAGGCGGCGUCGGCGUCGGCGGGACGACCAUUUUCAGUUGGCUUUUCGGCGGUUCCUCCGAGGGGGCUAUCGGCAGUUCCUGCACGCGGAAAUCGAUUCCCUUGUUGGUGGCGGAUUCCUGGGAUGAUUCCUCCAAUCCAGUGGAUUGGGGAACAAUGUUUAACAACUCCCUGACUGCGUGAGUCAAGGUGGCGGGAGAGC
rnacentral:rRNA from 1 species